AGUCGAGCGGUGAGAGAGCUUGCUUCUCUUGAGAGCGGCGGACGGGUGAGUAAUGCCUAGGAAUCUGCCUGGUAGUGGGGGAUAACGUUCGGAAACGGACGCUAAUACCGCAUACGUCCUACGGGAGAAAGCAGGGGACCUUCGGGCCUUGCGCUAUCAGAUGAGCCUAGGUCGGAUUAGCUAGUUGGUGGGGUAAUGGCUCACCAAGGCGACGAUCCGUAACUGGUCUGAGAGGAUGAUCAGUCACACUGGAACUGAGACACGGUCCAGACUCCUACGGGAGGCAGCAGUGGGGAAUAUUGGACAAUGGGCGAAAGCCUGAUCCAGCCAUGCCGCGUGUGUGAAGAAGGUCUUCGGAUUGUAAAGCACUUUAAGUUGGGAGGAAGGGCAGUAAAUUAAUACUUUGCUGUUUUGACGUUACCGACAGAAUAAGCACCGGCUAACUCUGUGCCAGCAGCCGCGGUAAUACAGAGGGUGCAAGCGUUAAUCGGAAUUACUGGGCGUAAAGCGCGCGUAGGUGGUUAGUUAAGUUGGAUGUGAAAUCCCCGGGCUCAACCUGGGAACUGCAUUCAAAACUGACUGACUAGAGUAUGGUAGAGGGUGGUGGAAUUUCCUGUGUAGCGGUGAAAUGCGUAGAUAUAGGAAGGAACACCAGUGGCGAAGGCGACCACCUGGACUGAUACUGACACUGAGGUGCGAAAGCGUGGGGAGCAAACAGGAUUAGAUACCCUGGUAGUCCACGCCGUAAACGAUGUNCACUAGCCGUUGGGAGCCUUGAGCUCUUAGUGGCGCAGCUAACGCAUUAAGUUGACCGCCUGGGGAGUACGGCCGCAAGGUUAAAACUCAAAUGAAUUGA
rnacentral:rRNA from 1 species